rnacentral:rRNA from 1 species
AUUGAACGCUGGCGGCAGGCCUAACACAUGCAAGUCGAACGGUAACAGGAAGCAGCUUGCUGCUUUGCUGACGAGUGGCGGACGGGUGAGUAAUGUCUGGGAAACUGCCUGAUGGAGGGGGAUAACUACUGGAAACGGUAGCUAAUACCGCAUAACGUCGCAAGACCAAAGAGGGGGACCUUCGGGCCUCUUGCCAUCGGAUGUGCCCAGAUGGGAUUAGCUAGUAGGUGGGGUAACGGCUCACCUAGGCGACGAUCCCUAGCUGGUCUGAGAGGAUGACCAGCCACACUGGAACUGAGACACGGUCCAGACUCCUACGGGAGGCAGCAGUGGGGAAUAUUGCACAAUGGGCGCAAGCCUGAUGCAGCCAUGCCGCGUGUAUGAAGAAGGCCUUCGGGUUGUAAAGUACUUUCGGCGGGGAGGAAGGGAGUAAAGUUAAUACCUUUGCUCAUUGACGUUACCCGCAGAAGAAGCACCGGCUAACUCCGUG